rnacentral:rRNA from 1 species
CAGUAGCCACGGGAAUACGGAAGGUCCAGGCGUUAUCCGGAUUUAUUGGGUUUAAAGGGAGUGUAGGCGGUCUGUUAAGCGUGUUGUGAAAUUUAGGUGCUCAACAUCUAACUUGCAGCGCGAACUGGCGGACUUGAGUGCACGCAACGUAUGCGGAAUUCAUGGUGUAGCGGUGAAAUGCUUAGAUAUCAUGACGAACUCCGAUUGCGAAGGCAGCGUACGGGAGUGUUACUGACGCUUAAGCUCGAAGGUGCGGGUAUCGAACAGGAUUAGAUACCCGUGUAGUCCCUGUCUCUUAUAC